CCUGGCUCAGGAUGAACGCUAGCUACAGGCUUAACACAUGCAAGUCGAGGGGCAGCAUGGUCUUAGCUUGCUAAGGCCGAUGGCGACCGGCGCACGGGUGAGUAACACGUAUCCAACCUGCCGUCUACUCUUGGACAGCCUUCUGAAAGGAAGAUUAAUACAAGAUGGCAUCAUGAGUCCGCAUGUUCACAUGAUUAAAGGUAUUCCGGUAGACGAUGGGGAUGCGUUCCAUUAGAUAGUAGGCGGGGUAACGGCCCACCUAGUCUUCGAUGGAUAGGGGUUCUGAGAGGAAGGUCCCCCACAUUGGAACUGAGACACGGUCCAAACUCCUACGGGAGGCAGCAGUGAGGAAUAUUGGUCAAUGGGCGAGAGCCUGAACCAGCCAAGUAGCGUGAAGGAUGACUGCCCUAUGGGUUGUAAACUUCUUUUAUAAAGGAAUAAAGUCGGGUAUGGAUACCCGUUUGCAUGUACUUUAUGAAUAAGGAUCGGCUAACUCCGUGCCAGCAGCCGCGGUAAUACGGAGGAUCCGAGCGUUAUCCGGAUUUAUUGCGUUUAAAGGGAGCGUAGAUGGAUGUUUAAGUCAGUUGUGAAAGUUUGCGGCUCAACCGUAAAAUUGCAGUUGAUACUGGAUAUCUUGAGUGCAGUUGAGGCAGGCGGAAUUCGUGGUGUAGCGGUGAAAUGCUUAGAUAUCACGAAGAACUCCGAUUGCGAAGGCAGCCUGCUAAGCUGCAACUGACAUUGAGGCUCGAAAGUGUGGGUAUCAAACAGGAUUAGAUACCCUGGUAGUCCACACGGUAAACGAUGAAUACUCGCUGUUUGCGAUAUACAGCAAGCGGCCAAGCGAAAGCGUUAAGUAUUCCACCUGGGGAGUACGCCGGCAACGGUGAAACUCAAAGGAAUUGACGGGGGCCCGCACAAGCGGAGGAACAUGUGGUUUAAUUCGAUGAUACGCGAGGAACCUUACCCGGGCUUAAAUUGCAGAUGAAUUACGGUGAAAGCCGUAAGCCGCAAGGCAUCUGUGAAGGUGCUGCAUGGUUGUCGUCAGCUCGUGCCGUGAGGUGUCGGCUUAAGUGCCAUAACGAGCGCAACCCUUGUUGUCAGUUACUAACAGGUUCCGCUGAGGACUCUGACAAGACUGCCAUCGUAAGAUGUGAGGAAGGUGGGGAUGACGUCAAAUCAGCACGGCCCUUACGUCCGGGGCUACACACGUGUUACAAUGGGGGGUACAGAGGGCCGCUACCACGCGAGUGGAUGCCAAUCCCCAAAACCUCUCUCAGUUCGGACUGGAGUCUGCAACCCGACUCCACGAAGCUGGAUUCGCUAGUAAUCGCGCAUCAGCCACGGCGCGGUGAAUACGUUCCCGGGCCUUGUACACACCGCCC
rnacentral:rRNA from 1 species